rnacentral:rRNA from 1 species
CNAGUNGAACGAGAAAGGGAUUGCUAGCAAUCCNGAGUAGAGUGGCGCACGGGUGAGUAACACGUAGAUAAUCUACCNUNCAAGCCUGGGAUAACUAUUCGAAANGNAUAGCUAAUACCGGAUAAAGUAUUUUGACAUAAGUCAAACUAUGAAAGAUUGCCUCUUCUUGAAAGCAAUUGUUUGGAGAUGAGUCUGCGGACCAUUAGCUUGUUGGUGGGGUAAAGGCCUACCAAGGCUGCGAUGGUUAGCUGGUCUGAGAGGAUGAUCAGUCACACUGGAACUGGAACACGGUCCAGACUCCUACGGGAGGCAGCAGUGAGGAAUUUUGCGCAAUGGGGGAAACCCUGACGCAGCAACGCCGCGUGAGUGAAGAAGGCCUUUGGGUCGUAAAGCUCUGUCAACUGGGAAGAAGUUACAAUUAUCUAAUAGGUAGUUGUAUUGACGGUACCAGUGGAGGAAGCGCCGGCUAACUCCGUGCCAGCAGCCGCGGUAAUACGGGGGGCGCAAGCGUUAUUCGGAAUUAUUGGGCGUAAAGGGCGCGUAGGCGGUUUUGUCGGUCAGAUGUGAAAGCCCAGGGCUCAACCCUGGACGUGCAUUUGAAACAGCAAGACUUGAGUACGGGAGAGGAAAGCGGAAUUCCUGGUGUAGAGGUGAAAUUCGUAGAUAUCAGGAGGAACACCGAUGGCGAAGGCAGCUUUCUGGACCGAUACUGACGCUGAGGCGCGAAGGCGUGGGUAGCGAACAGGAUUAGAUACCCUGGUAGUCCACGCAGUAAACGAUGUUCACUAGGUGUAGCGGGUAUUAAAAUCUGCUGUGCCGGAGCUAACGCAUUAAGUGAACCGCCUGGGGAGUACGGUCGCAAGACUAAAACUCAAAGGAAUUGACGG